rnacentral:lncRNA from 1 species
UCUACUAGGCAGUGCACUAAGCAACUGACAUGUAUUAAUCUUUACAACCUUAUUAUUAAUAAUUAGUUUACAGAUGAGAAAAUUUAGGGUUAAAAGAAUAGGAUGCUCUGCUUUGUCACACAACUAGUCGGUGCUUAACCUGAGAUUUGAACACACCCUGACUCCACAGCCCACCAAAAGUAAUCAUAUUUAGUAAUUUGAGAAGAGCACAAGUUCAGAGACCAUAGAAAAGUUUGAAAUGUAAGCUCCGAACUUACUCAGGUAAGAAUUUCCUAGGACAAAUAACUCCAGUGCAGAAAUGUUAUUUUAGAAAUUCAGCUACUCUAUUUAGUUGCAUAUCUAUUAGGGGAGAAAAUUCACAGAAGAUGCUGAGGAAACACCAUGUAUUGCUCAAGGAGCUCUUUUCUAGAAUGUGCACAUUUAGCUUGUCACUCCAAAUAUGGCUGGCCUAUUCUCAGAUGGAAAGUUUUUCUAGUUUUGAAUUUACCUGAACUAUAUAUAAACUUUAAUCUCUCUAUUUUAAGAAGAAAUGUUGGAAGGAAAAUAUGGGGUGCCUGAAAAGAUGCUUUUGAAGGAUAAUUUCCUCUGACUUCCUUGGUUGUAACUUCCUUGGCAGAUUUUUAUUUCGCCAAAUGCAUAGUGAGCCGUGACCCUGCCCAGGGCUGCUUCAGCUUCAUUAAGAUGAUUCUGGCAUUUCAGGAUCAAAGUUUCACUCUAGGCCAUGGACAGCGAGGGGCAGCCAAGACAAGUCCAUCUCCUUACCACCUUGGAGUGAAAAUGAACCAGAAAACUUCAUUCCCAGAAACUUACACUGCUUAUCAAAUUAACAAACAUAUUGGGGCCAGCCCGUGGCCAAAUGGUUAAAAUUCUGCACGAUCCACUUUGGUGGCCCGGGUUCGCAGUUUUGGAUCCCAGGUAUGGACCUACUCCACCCAUCAGCCAUGCUGUGGAGGCACCCCACUUCCAAAGUAAAGGAAGGUUGGCACAGAUGUUAGCUCAUGGCCAAUCUUCCUCACAAAAAAGAAAAAAAAAUUAAUGAAUAUAUUGUUAACUGAUCCCUGUAUUGACCAUCAAAACCUUUAGGAGACAUGGAUAUAGCCCUUGAAAAGUUGAAAGGGAAAAGGGCAAAGCAGGCCUGAAGUAAAGCAGGAACCCGUUACAGCCCGGAAGGAGGGUCAGCAGUGUCACUGAGCCAUCCCGCCCCGCAGCUUGGGAAGAAAAUGGCCAUGAACGAUGCCAUCUGCUUCAAGGCCUGCUGGACUCAUACCUCCUCCAAUCUGCAAAAGGACACAUGUUUUUAAAAGGCAACUUGGAACUCUUCUAUUCAAUCAUAAAGUUAUGGGAAUUAAUAUAAUAAUCAUAAUAAAAAUAGUUACCAUUUGAUAAACCA